rnacentral:rRNA from 1 species
AGCAGCCGCGGUAAUUCCAGCUCCAAUAGCGUAUAUUAAAGUUGUUGCAGUUAAAAAGCUCGUAGUUGAAUUUCGGGAUCAAAUUGUUGGUCGUGCUUCGGUACGCACUGGCAUUAUUGGUUCCUACCUUCUGAAGAACCGCGAUGUCAUUAAUUUGGUGUCGUGGGGAAUCAGGACUGUUACUUUGAAAAAUUAGAGUGUUUAAAGCAGGCUUACGCUUGAAUACAUUAGCAUGGAAUAAUGAAAUAGGACGUUUGAUUCUAUUUUGUUGGUUUCUAGGAUCGACGUAAUGAUUAAUAGGGAUAGUUGGGGGCAUUAGUAUUCAAUUGUCAGAGGUGAAAUUCUUGGAUUUAUUGAAGACUAACUACUGCGAAAGCAUUUGCCAAGGAUGUUUUCAUUAAUCAAGAACGAAAGUUAGGGGAUCGAAGACGAUCAGAUACCGUCGUAGUCUUAACCAUAAACUAUGCCGACUAGGGAUCGGAUGAUGUUAAUUUUAUAAUGACUCAUUCGGCGCCUUAAC